rnacentral:rRNA from 1 species
UGGGGAAUAUUGCACAAUGGGGGAAACCCUGAUGCAGCAACGCCGCGUGAGUGAUGACGGCCUUCGGGUUGUAAGGCUCUGUCUUCAGGGACGAUAAUGACGGUACCUGAGGAGGAAGCCACGGCUAACUACGUGCCAGCAGCCGCGGUAAUACGUAGGUGGCACGCGUUGUCCGGAUUUACUGGGCGUAAAGGGAGCGUAGGCGGACUUUUAAGUGAGAUGUGAAAUACCCGGGCUCAACCUGGGUGCUGCAUUUCAAACUGGAAGUCUAGAGUGCAGGAGAGGAGAGUGGAAUUCCUAGUGGAGCGGUGAAAUGCGUAGAGAUUAGGAAGAACACCAGUGGCGAAGGCGGCUCUCUGGACUGUACCUGACGCUGAGGCUCGAAAGCGUGGGGAGCAAACA